GAUGAACGCUGGCGGCGUGCCUAAUACAUGCAAGUCGAGCGAACAGACGAGGCUCUUGCUCCUCUGACGUUAGCGGCGGACGUGUGAGUAACACGUGGAUAACCUACCUAUAAUACUUGUAUAACUUCGGGAAACCGGAGCUAAUACCGGAUAAUAUAUUGAACCGCAUGGUUCAAUAGUGAAAUACGGUUUUGCUGUCUCUUAUAGAUGGAUCCGCUCCGCAUUAGCUAGUUGGUAAGGUAACGGCUUACCAAGGCAACGAUGCGUAGCCGACCUGAGAGGGUGAUCGGCCACACUGGAACUGAGACACGGUCCAGAGUACUACGGGAGGCAGCAGUAGGGAAUCUUCCGCAAUGGGCGAAAGCAUGACGGAGCAACGCCGCGUGAGUGAUGAAGGUCUUCGGAUCGUAAAACUCUGUUAUUAGGGAAGAACAAAUGUGUAAGUAACUAUGCACGUAUUGACGGUACCUAAUAAGAAAGCAACGGCUAACUACGUG
rnacentral:rRNA from 1 species